GGAGCCAAGAUGGCGGCCGAGUUGGAGUACGAGUCUGUGCUGUGUGUGAAGCCGGACGUCAGCGUCUACCGGAUUCCGCCCCGGGCCUCCAACCGCGGUUACAGGGCAUCUGACUGGAAAUUAGACCAGCCUGAUUGGACUGGUCGCCUCCGAAUCACUUCAAAAGGGAAGACUGCCUAUAUCAAACUCGAGGAUAAAGUUUCAGGGGAGCUCUUUGCUCAGGCACCAGUAGAACAAUAUCCUGGUAUUGCUGUGGAGACAGUGACAGAUUCCAGCCGCUACUUUGUAAUCCGGAUCCAGGAUGGUACUGGGCGCAGUGCUUUCAUUGGCAUUGGCUUCACAGAUCGGGGAGAUGCCUUCGACUUUAAUGUCUCCUUGCAGGAUCACUUCAAGUGAGUGAAGCUUGUCCUUAGUUACGAGGUCGAAUGCUUGUAGGAAUGCUGCUUCUCACGUGAAUGGGCAGUAUCUCUUUUCCUCCUGGUUUCUUUAUUUCUUCAACUAUUUCAUUGUGAAUAUAAAUCUCCUCAUUCACUUUUGUUUCCUUGGGUCAUCUUUGUAUCUAUUCUGUUUCCUUUCCUUAUAGCCUGCAAUAUGUUUUAGAUCCCUUGUGCAGUAGUUUGAAAUGAUGCUCUGUCGAAUGUUGCCCCGUCUUUUAGGUGGUAGAGGGAGGCCUAUGGUAACAGCAGGGCUUUAUGUGGGGAGUUGUGUGCCACUCUUGUUACCUUAUGUAGCUGACAUGUUUUGUGACUUUUGCAACAUUUCUUUAGUCCACUUGAUUUUGGUGCAGCUGUGGUGACAGCACUAUGCACACUGUGAGCUUCCUACCUCAAGAGCAAGCAUAUCUCUCCUUUCCUGCCUCAGGACUCUCUGAAGUUAUAGAAGGCUAAGAGCAAGCUUUAACUUGGAGAGACUAAGAAACUAACACCCCCUCAGGAGCAGCCCUCAACUGUGGGGAAUGGGAAUUGGUGGCUAAAUGCCAUCCUUUUGGAAGAGGCAAUUCUAAUACGUAUUCCUUGAGAUUUCUCAGAGAGUCCCCAGUGGAAUUGAACCCCAGUAGUUUUCUUUCUUGGCUUUUUUCCCUUUUGUUUCUCACUCUUUUUUAUCUCUCACUGUGUUUUCUGGAAUCUCAUUUCAUAAAAGUAAAUACACCCAAAUUUGUAUGUCAGACUCUGCUUUCAGGAAAUCUCAAACUAAGAUAACUUGCUGUGUUCCCAAAGGUGGGUAAAGCAGGAAUCUGAGAUUUCCAAGGAAUCUCAAGAAAUGGAUGCUCGUCCUAAGUUGGAUCUGGGCUUCAAGGAAGGACAAACCAUCAAGUUGAGUAUCGGGGUGAGUAUGGUUUUUAAAAAUUUUGUUUUCCUGUGCUUCCAUAAGCCUAUGACAUCUUUCUCUUGCUCUUCUUUUUUUCUUUUGUAGAACAUUACAAACAAGAAAGGAGGUGCUUCCAAGCCCAGGACUGCAAGGGGUGGGGGCCUGAGCUUACUCCCACCCCCGCCAGGAGGCAAAGUCACUAUUCCCCCACCAUCCUCCUCAGUUGCCAUCAGCAAUCAUGUCACCCCACCACCCAUUCCGAAAUCUAACCAUGGAGGCAGUGAUGCAGAUAUCCUUUUAGAUUUGGAUUCUCCUGCUCCUGUCACGACACCAGCACCAACUCCAGUUUCUGCAAGCAAUGACUUGUGGGGAGACUUCAGCACUGCAUCCAGCUCUGUUCCAAACCAGGCACCACAGCCAUCCAACUGGGUCCAGUUCUGAAUGGCAUUGGCAGGACAUUAAGGACAGACUUGAGGAAUAAAAAUGACCUUGAGGGCACCAAUCUGUGAGGGAAGUUAGGAACCCAUUUCCUCCCCAGAAUCAAAAUGACUGGACAAUCUUUUUCGUAGCUUCUCCAUCACAUUCAAGCUGGUUUAUGUCACUCCCCUGUGUUGUUACUUGUACAGCCAAGAAAGUAUCUGUUAAUCUCCUGCUUAGUACCAAGGUAGGGGACUAGUGAAUCUUAUCAUAGUUUUGGCUGACUAUGCAGGGCUCAAAAGGCCAGCGUCUGUUUGAGGGGGAAUGACCUCUGACAUCUGUAAAAUUUGUCUCAUCUUUUAAAUUCUUUAACUUAUUUCAAAAUCAUCUCAUGACCCUCGUGUGCCUCUUUGUGAAGCCCUAUUUAGCAAUUUCAGGGGAGUCAAAAACCUUGCAACUUCCUUCUCCACUAACCCAGGACUAAAAAUGGACAGGCUGACCUUAGUGUUUACAAAUUCAGAAUUUUGAUAGGGGUAGAUAUGGAGAAAGACCUAUUUCCUGGGUCUCUGCUGUGUAGUCUCCUUCAGGCUUAUUGUACACAGUGAACAUCCAGUGCUGGGUGCAGCUCCAUCACCCUCUUGUGUGUUUACAUGUCUCUUUCUAUGAUAAGAGGGUUGUGUUGGUGGCACCUCCACUACUCUUUUCUGUUUGUUGAAUUUGAAUUGUGUAACAUCUUUGACCAGUGGGUGUUUCUGUAAUGAAGGAGGUUCAAGAGGCUGUGCUUUCCAAGUGAUAGUCUAUAGGAAUGUUUGAUUUCUUGCAGCUCCAUCUGGUUGCUGCAUUUGAAGCAUGGCAUUAAUUUGUAUUUGCCCUGUUGUUUGACCUUAAGUUGAAGGGUUUAGAGUUUUUAACCUGAUCUGUAGAGCAGAGAGGUUGAAAGCACUUAACUCUUGUUUAGUAUCCUCAUUGCCUUGCUGCCUGGGUAUCUGGCCCCUUUUCAUAAACAUUUCUUUUCAGUUCAUGUAGUUCUUUAAUAGAAAGCUGCUAUUAUGUAUAUUGUCAUUUGUGAAGGAAGUUGGAGAGUCACAGAUUUACUGUGACAGGUUUUGCCCAAGUCUGUGAUACCUGUCACCCAGGGUAUCUUAAAAGCAAGUUGUUCUCCCACUACUUUCCUUUCCCUCUGCCCUGCCAUUCCUUUUACAAUGCUGUGAAAAAAGUUCUGCUUCUUAGGUGAAUGGGUACUUUCUAUUUUGUUUCUAAAUGAGCAAUUUUGAGGAUGAAAUGGGAAGAUAUCAUUUCUUCCUUUUUGCACCUAUUAGGUAUGUACACUCUCUGGCUGAAGGGAGUCCUUAUGUUUAGUUUCAAAAUAUAUUACUUUCCUGGAUUCCCUUCUUAACGUUUUCUGACUUUGGGUCCAUUUUCUUUUCAUUGCCUCCUUUUCCAGGCAGCUCUAUUCUUGCAGAGCCAUGGCAGGACAUAUUAAAAUUCCAGUAGAAAACACUAAAAGGAAAGUCUGUAGAAUCACUAGUGACUAAAUACUGGGAACCUAUUUUCUCAAUCUUCCUCCAUGUUGUGUUCUUUGUAUUCUCAAGAUGAUAAUAUAUUAUGUAUUUGAAUUCCUGAAAAAUGGAAAAUGUUUAAGAUAUAUGUAUAUAAAGCAUAUGCUGUAUUGGUGCAAUAAUGGUAAUUAAAAAU
rnacentral:sRNA from 1 species